UACCUCCUGCGAUGUUCGUGACGACGAUAAUUGUUUUGAACCAAUGCUGUUUCUACGGGAGACCUACAUCGCUUGGCCGCUGACAUGCCCGCGAAACGGGACGCCAAUAAGCCAAGCUGCGGACACCCACCUGCGAGAGCGGGUUCAGAAACUUGCGCGUCGAACGGCAUAGGCGGGUUUUUU
rnacentral:other from 1 species